rnacentral:rRNA from 1 species
AGCAGCCGCGGUAAUUCCAGCUCCAAUAGCGUAUAUUAAAGUUGUUGCAGUUAAAAAGCUCGUAGUUGAAUUUCGGGAUCAAUACGUCGGUCGUGCUUCGGUACGUACUGGCGUCAUUGAUUUCUCCCUUCUGACGAACCAUGAUGUCAUUAACUUGGUGUCAUGGGAAAUCAGGACUGUUACUUUGAAGAAAUUAGAGUGUUUAAAGCAGGCUCACGCUUGAAUACAUUAGCAUGGAAUAAUGAAAUAGGACGUUCGAUCCUAUUUUGUUGGUUUUAGGAUCAACGUAAUGAUUAAUAGGGAUAGUUGGGGGCAUUAGUAUUCAAUUGUCAGAGGUGAAAUUCUUGGAUUUAUUGAAGACUAACUACUGCGAAAGCAUUUGCCAAGGAUGUUUUCAUUAAUCAAGAACGAAAGUUAGGGGAUCGAAGACGAUCAGAUACCGUCGUAGUC